UACGAAGGGGGCUAGCGUUGCUCGGAAUUACUGGGCGUAAAGGGCGCGUAGGCGGAUUGCUAAGUUGGAGGUGAAAGCCCAGGGCUCAACCUUGGAACUGCCUUCAAUACUGGCAAUCUUGAGUAUGAGAGAGGUGUGUGGAACUCCGAGUGUAGAGGUGAAAUUCGUAGAUAUUCGGAAGAACACCAGUGGCGAAGGCGACACACUGGCUCAUUACUGACGCUGAGGCGCGAAAGCGUGGGGAGCAAACAGG
rnacentral:rRNA from 1 species